CGCCGGGCUCUGGCUGUUUCCUUCAGGCGCCUGUUCCACGCCAGGAUUAGUUUUGCUUCGCAGAUGGGCCGUGGUGGUGAGAGCGAGCAAUCAGAAUGGAAAUGGAAAAAGGGCUUAUCAUGCAUGUCCUCCCCAGGAGGGAGAUCGUGGUGCAGGCGAGCUGACGCCAGACUCCCCUGGACACUUGCCGCCUGCGUUAUGGAGGAUUAGCUAAUAACCUUUUAGGGGCCUUGAGGAUUUUCCACUGGCUCACCUUUAGGCUUCUGACACUUUUACCUACGAUACUGCAGUAGUUACUUUUUGAAGGACUACCGAAGCAGGAUAUUUCCCUGACCCCUUCCUGGGACCCACGUCAGAGGUGUUUACUCAGCCUGCUGCCCACAACUCCUCAUGGGAGGGAGCGCACAAGUGAACGAGGAUGCUAAAAGUGAAACCUGGAGGUGUGAUAUAAGAUGUCCAAAGUCACACAGUAAGUGAGUUGCAGAACUACAGCUUCAAAUAAUAGUUCUAAAGACAGUCUCUUAAUUCAUCAUUAUUUAUUGAUUAUGUAUAUGCCUUACACUGUCACAGAGAAUAUAGCUUUAAGUAUAUGUAAUUUAGUAUUGCAUUUUAAAUGC